rnacentral:lncRNA from 1 species
GGCCGUCCGGAUUUCAGAACUAAUUCUCGCACGGCCGUCCGGGUCAACGAAGUGGCGCAGUGAAGGAAUUUUAAUUACACAAGGAAACCGCCCUUUUAUAUUUUUGCACCCUAUUGAAAGGCCAAAUAGCACACAAUUAGGAAUCUAUCUUUUCUACACGCAAUCUAGGAGCAAGGGAACGGAGCAACGAAGACGAAGACUUG